UUGCUUUACUUUAUUUAUUUUCCGCACUCACUUUACUUUAAUUAUUUCCCGCACUCGCUUUACUUUAUUUAUUUUCCGCACUCGCUUUACUUUAUUUAUUUUACGCACUUUACUCGUUCUUUAAGCCUUACAUUCUUAAAAAAACUUUUUAUCAUGAUCAAUACCGUUGUGUUUGUUUGUGUUACUAUGUCUGGCUAAAUCUUUUAAAGGUUAGAAUGUAAGGGUCGUGGUUAACGAUAUGUUUCACAUAUUUAAUCUGUAGAAAUACUUUAAAGGUU
rnacentral:lncRNA from 1 species